CCGGCACGGGUGAGUAACACGUAUCCAACCUGCCGUCUACUCUUGGACAGCCUUCUGAAAGGAAAGAUUAAUACAAGAUGGCAUCAUGAGUCCGCAUGUUCACAUGAUUAAAGGUAUUCCGGUAGACGAUGGGGAUGCGUUCCAUUAGAUAGUAGGCGGGGUAACGGCCCACCUAGUCUUCGAUGGAUAGGGGUUCCGAGAGGAAGGUCCCCCACAUUGGAACUGAGACACGGUCCAA
rnacentral:rRNA from 1 species